ACUCAUCAGUAACUUCCUAAUCAAUCAUCAAAUCUUAGACUGUUAUUACUAAUAUAGUGCGUGUGUGCUCCACAACAAUGUUUACUGAUAUAAAAUCAAAUUUAACAAAUAACAAGUCUCUUCGAAGGCAUCAUACAGUGUAAACUCAAGAAAUCCAAAAACAAGCUAGAUCCAACUAAAAUCAAACAGUUACCAAUAU
rnacentral:lncRNA from 1 species